CACAAAUACUGCUUUUAUUAUAAUAUCAAAGAUACAUACAUACAUACAUACAUACAUAUAUAUAGAUGUAUGUAUGUAUGUAUGUAUGAUGUGUGUGUAUAUAGGCUUAAUCUACGAAGAAAUUUUAUAGUUCUAUCUAGUUAGUAGUUUCAUCCCAUUAGUACUGCAAAAAUUUGCCCAGCCAUUGGAAUUCAGAGAAGGAGGAAGAGUGGAUGGAAGACUAUGUCAUAAAAAUAGUGAUCUGUGGGGUUAUUUCAUGGACAACUGCUUUUCUCCUUGUGAGAAGGGUCUUCCCAAAGCGUUCAUUUGAUUUCUGCAGCAGAGUUGUUUCCACAAUCCAUGCAUCUUUAGCUGUAGCCCUUGCUUUCAUCACUGUGCAAGACUGGAGGUGCCCAGUAUGUCCCCUUGCUUCAGGAUCAUCACCUAGACAGAUGAAAACACUAGCAGUGACAUUGGCUUAUCUCAUAUAUGACUUGAUAUGCUGCGUCUUUCACAAGCAAGUUGAUCUUGACAAUAUGAGCCACCAUUUAGUGAGCAUCUUUGGAAUUGGUGGAGGGCUUGCUUAUGAGUUGUGUGGCUCAGAAAUGGUAGUGGCUCUGUGUGUGACAGAGAUGUCUACACCUUUCCUCCACAUGAGGGAGCUACUCAAAGAGCUUGGCUACAGAGACACUGACCUCAAUUUGGCUGCCGAUAUUUCAUUUGCAGUAAUAUUCUCAUUUGCGAGGAUGAUAAUCGGACCAUACCUAACUUAUGCUACUGUAUCUGCUGGCAAUCCAUUACUCAUAAAGGCAACGGCGCUGGGAUUGCAGCUGGUCAGUGCCUUCUGGUUCUACAAGAUUGUGAGGAUGGUUAAAUACAAACUGGCCAAGAGGACUCCUAGAAAUUGAAAUUGCAUCAACCCACAGCUGGAUCAUACAUAUAAGCUUCAAUGAGAUUAAUUCGAUUCUAUUCUAGCAAAGCAAGCAUUGCUGCAUUAGUAAUAGCCUACUCGCAUCACUAUAUAUGAUAUACCCCAAAUAUAUCACCUACCUAGAAGAGACUAGAGCGCAGUAUGAGGGCAGUUACCGCCCAAGUCAACUGCCCGACCGAAGCAAUUGACGCCCGCCUUAUAAUAAGAAGAAAGAUUCAUGCCAAUGAGGUAAGAACCGGAGUGAUUCAUGCCCACACCAUAACUCGCCAAUAAAUGGCAUUAUACCAUUGGGUCAACCUCCAUCACUAUAAAUAGAGAUUUGGAGAAGAGGUUAAGGUAUUUCAUCCUAACACACUUUACUGUUGCAUAAAAACCUCUCAAGCCCAUCCCUUACUUAGGCAUCGGAGAGGUCCCUCGGAGUACACCCCGGGUCCUCCAAGUUACUUUUAUUUGUCUCUUUUCAGGUGAUCGUGAUCAAGGAUCGAUUCGUGAAGAUUGUUCAAUUUUCAGCUGCAACAAAAUAUAUUGGUUAUGAGUUUUUGUGGAGAAGGGUUGUGAAUCGGAUCUCAUUGCAAAUCUAAAGGAAAAGUUUGUUUCUAGAAAUGGGUUUUUGUUUUGAUACAAAUUAACUCCAAAAUAUAUUGGUUUGGAGGGGCAAAUAUUUUGUUAUCUUGCCUCAGGGCAAGAGUUAAGAAAUUAUUUUUCAUUCUUUCUCCUCUCUCAAAAUGCCUCCCAAACACUUCUUCACUGCUCAACAUAUAGAAGAUCACCCUCUUCAACUUGAAUUUA